rnacentral:rRNA from 1 species
AUGCCUCAGCUCGGCACCCUCGUCGCCAUCACGCUACUCCUCCACCUCCACGCCGCGCCGACGGGCCUCGCGCAGGCCGCGACGGGCGCGUUCAUCUACGCCGGGUGCUCGCCGUCCAAGUACGAGCGCGACACCGCCUUCGAGAGCAACCUCGGCUCCCUCCUCGCCUCCAUCGCCUCCACCGCCUCCUCCGGCGCCGCCUACAACAGCUUCACCGCCGGCGGCGGCGUCGGCCAGGCGGAGGCGACCCGCACGGCCGCGUACGGCCUGUAUCAGUGCCGCGGCGACCUCGGCCGCGGCGAGUGCGUGGCGUGCGUGCGGGAGGCGGUGGCGCGCCUGGGCGCCGUGUCGCUGCAGGUGGACGGCUGCUACGUGCGGUACGACGCCAGCGACUUCGUCGGCCGGGCCGACAACACCGUCGCGUACCGCAAGUGCAGCUCCGGCAGCAGCGAGGACGCCGGGUUCCUCAAGAGCCGCGACGCCGUGCUCAGGGAGCUGCAGGCGCGGGCCGCGACGGGGUACAAGCUGACCGGCUCCGGCACGGUGCAGGGCGUGGCGCAGUGCCUCGGCGACAUCGCGGCGCCGGACUGCGCCGCGUGCCUGGCGCAGGCGGUGGUGCAGCUCAAGGGCACGUGCGGCUCCGCGCUGGCCGCCGACGUCUACCUGGAGCAGUGCUACGUCAAGUACUGGCUAAACGGACACGACUUCCGCUCUUCACAGGACUAUUCGGGAGACGAAUUUGGGAGGACCGUGGCUAUAAUAAUUGGCAUCUUGGCCGGGCUAGCACUCCUGGUGGUGUUCAUCUCUUUCCUCAGCAAAGCAUGCUAG